rnacentral:rRNA from 1 species
UUGGACAAUGGGCGCAAGCCUGAUCCAGCAAUGCCGCGUGAGUGAUGAAGGCCUUCGGGUUGUAAAGCUCUUUUACCUACGACGAUGAUGACGGUAGUAGGAGAAUAAGCCCCGGCUAACUUCGUGCCAGCAGCCGCGGUAAUACGAAGGGGGCUAGCGUUGUUCGGAAUUACUGGGCGUAAAGGGCGCGUAGGCGGCCCUGUCAGUCAAGCGUGAAAGCCCCGGGCUCAACCUGGGAAUUGCGCCUGAUACUGCAGGGCUUGAGGGUCGGAGAGGAUGGUGGAAUUCCCAGUGUAGAGGUGAAAUUCGUAGAUAUUGGGAAGAACACCGGUGGCGAAGGCGGCCAUCUGGACGACAUCUGACGCUGAGGCGCGAAAGCGUGGGGAGCAAACAGGAUUAGAUACCCUGGUAGUCCACGCUGUAAACGAUGAAUGCUAGACGUUGGGGUUCUUAGAACUUCAGUGUCGCCGCUAACGCAUUAAGCAUUCCGCC